AUUGGUAAUGUCUGCUUUAGGCUCAGGUGUUUCCUGUCUUUGCAGGAGUGCAUGCAGGGUUCAAAUGUCAGCGAGAUAGCUUGGCACUUCUAAGCUCGUUAGUGUUGCAGGAUGCUCUUUGUAGUUUUACAGGGGAGUAAUAUUUGCGUGAUGGCAGCUGUUUGUCCUUCGGAUAAUCAUGUUAUUGCACACAGGCUCUAGACUUGGCUGAAGACACUGGGCCCAGAGUUAUCUGAGGGCAUCCGGUUUAACCAGAGCUUUGGUCUGCUAGUAACGCUCUAUAUUAGAUUAUUUAUAUAACACUACCUACAAGACUGUACACAUUUUUUGGUGGAAAAUGUUCGGAAAAGGAGACGAGGGUGGAUUUGCCACAGAUGGGGACAUAAAUGGAAGGGGAGAAUCUAGAAGAACAAACAGGCAGGGAGAAGAGAGUGUUUCUCUAACUGAACGAUGACUGCGCUGGUGGUGAAGGUGGAGUCUGCUCCCGGUCUGAACCCCCGUCAGCUGACCCUGAGCAACCCCGCCUGUGGUCCCACCAACAGUGACGAUCGCUUCACCUACUUCCACUUCACUGUGAACUCCUGUGGCACCACCAGGAAGAUGUCUCGUAUAACACGUUCCACCAGGAGGAGGACUAUCCAGUGGUGAGGUACCUGAGACAGCCUCUGCACUUUGAGGUGGAGCUGACCACGUCCUCUGACCCCAAGGUAGCGCUGGUGCUUGACCACUGCUGGGCCACCCUCAACGAGGACCGCGACUCCCGAC